AAAGAAAAAGAGGUGAUAAUAAUAUCUGUCCGGACUGAGCUUUAUCUCAAACAUGGGAAAAAGUACCAGAAGGAAGCCAUCCAAAAGAAAUUUUGCAACCUAAAACGCCUUCACCCUGAACUUGUGAAAGAAUAUAGUCAGCGAUUACACCCAGGGGUUCCUGUUCCUUCUGUGAGACAUAGAAAAUCAAAGAAGGUGGUCGCAACGGGUGUGGAGGAAGAGUCGGCUAGGCAGAGGAGGAGCAGCCUGGACCAUCGCAGCAAGAGGAUUGCUCCCCCCCACCUCCAGAAGAGGGGGACAAGGAGGUCUACACCCCCAACCAGGAAGGUGUUCCCGUUCCUCCUGUACAACAAACGGGUGAGGAGGAAGAGUCGGCGGAGCAGGCAGAGGAGGAGCAGCCUGGACCAUCACAACAAGGGGAUUCCUCCCCCCCACCUCCAGAAGAGGGGGACAAGGAGGUCUACACCCCCCAUCAGGAGGUUAUUAGAAAACUUAAAAGGAGGCUCCUUGAGCAUCGGAAAUCGGAAGCCAAGGCAAUGCUGGCUAUAAAAGCAGAGAAAAAAAUAUAUAGGGCUACUUCAGGGUCGCUUACAGAGGCAUCAGCGUCAGCUGGAUGAUGCAUACAAGAAGCUGGAGGAGCAGAGGAAGAUCCAGAAUGAAGAGCUCCUGGAGAUCCAGAAGGAACUCCAAAGU